AGAGUUUGAUCAUGGCUCAGAUUGAACGCUGGCGGCGUGCCUAACACAUGCAAGUCGAGCGGUAACAGGUGUAGCAAUACAUGCUGACGAGCGGCGAACGGGUGAGUAAUGCUUCGGAAUCUACCUUAUGGUGGGGAAUAACUAGCCGAAAGGUUAGCUAAUACCGCAUACGUCCUACGGGAGAAAGCAGGGGAUCGUAAGACCUUGCGCCAAAAGAUGAGCCGAAGUCGGAUUAGCUAGUUGGUAGGGUAACGGCCUACCAAGGCGACGAUCCGUAGCUGGUCUGAGAGGACGACCAGCCACACUGGAACUGAGACACGGUCCAGACUCCUACGGGAGGCAGCAGUGGGGAAUAUUGGACAAUGGGGGAAACCCUGAUCCAGCGACGCCGCGUGUGUGAAGAAGGCCUGCGGGUUGUAAAGUACUUUUAGUGGGGAUGAAAUGUGCAGAGCUAAUAUCUCUGUACUUUGACCUAACCCACAGAAAAAGCACCGGCUAACUCUGUGCCAGCAGCCGCGGUAAUACAGAGGGUGCAAGCGUUAAUCGGAAUUACUGGGCGUAAAGCGUGCGUAGACGGUUACAUAAGUCGGGUGUGAAAGCCCCGGGCUCAACCUGGGAAUUGCAUUCGAGACUGCGUAGCUAGGGUGCGGAAGAGGGAAGCGGAAUUUCCGGUGUAGCGGUGAAAUGCGUAGAUAUCGGAAGGAACACCAGUGGCGAAAGCGGCUUCCUGGUCCAGCACCGACGUUCAGGCACGAAAGCGUGGGGAGCAAACAGGAUUAGAUACCCUAGUAGUCC
rnacentral:rRNA from 1 species